rnacentral:rRNA from 1 species
AACGAACGCUGGCGGCAGGCUUAACACAUGCAACUCGAACGCAUGCCUUCGGGCAUGAGUGGCAGACGGGUGAGUAACGCGUGGGAACCUACCCCUUGGUACGGGAUAGCUCCGGGAAACUGGAGAUAAUACCGUAUGUGUCCUGAGGGACAAAGAUUCAUCGCCAAGGGAUGGGCCCGCGUCGGAUUAGCUAGUUGGUGGGGUAACGGCCUACCAAGGCGACGAUCCGUAGCUGGUCUAAGAGGAUGAUCAGCCACAUUGGGACUGAGACACGGCCCAAACUCCUACGUGAGGCAGCAGUGUGUAAUAUUGGACCAUGGGCGCAAGACUGAUCCAGCCAUGCCUCGUGAGUGAUGAAGGCCCUAGGGUUGUAAAGCUCUUUCACCGGUGACGAUAAUGACGGUAACCGGAGAAGAAGCCCCGGCUAACUUCGUG